GACAGAGUGGGACUCCAUCUUAAAAAAAAAAAAAAAAAAAAAGGAAGGAGAGAGAGAAUAUGAGGAGGGGUAGGGAUGCUGAGGCUCCUACUGGCCCCCCGCUCAGCUCACCCUCCCCUUCCUCGCCCAGCUGCGAUGUGAUACGCAGGUAGUAGGCAGUGGAGCUCUCUGGGCCAGCAGCCUGGUCAGAACCCAAAGGUUCCUGUCCACAACGAGCCACACUCCAGGAUAGCCCUGGUGUUCCUUUAUUCCUGGAGAAUUUGGGACCCCAUAUUUAGAAAGAUGUGUUGCUUGGUAGCUCCCAAAGAAAGGGGGUCUGAAGCCUGGCCUUUUUCUUCCCCAGAUGAAGUGGUUUUAAAGUUUGAUCGGAACCGUGUGCGUAUCCGGAACGUGGCCUACGACACGCUCCCCGUUGUGGUCCAUGGAAACGGUCCCACUAAGCUGCAGCUCAACUACCUGGGAAACUACGUCCCCAAAGGCUGGACUCCCGAGGGAGGCUGUGGCUUCUGCAACCAGGACCGGAGGACACUCCCGGGGGGGCAGCCUCCCCCCCGGGUGUUUCUGGCCGUGUUUGUGGAACAGCCUACCCCGUUUCUGCCCCGCUUCCUACAGCGGCUGCUGCUCCUGGACUAUCCCCCCGACAGGGUCACCCUUU
rnacentral:sRNA from 1 species